ACGCCAAACGCCAGCCAAUCAGGGAGCGCACAGCAGGCGCCCUCUGGUCGCGGUCGCCGCCGCCGCAGUGACUGGCGUGCAGCCAUGGCGCUGAUCCCGCCGGUUGGCCUGGGCACCUGGAAGGCCUCUCCAGGAGAAGUAACUAAUGCAGUGAAGCUUGCCAUCGAUGCGGGGUACCGACACUUUGACUGUGCGUAUUUAUACCAGAAUGAGAGUGAGGUAGGAGAAGGAAUCCAGUGCAAGAUCAGCGAGGGUGUUAUAAAACGAGAGGAGCUGUUCAUUGUCAGUAAGGGAUCGAACUCACGACUGCCUGCUUACAAGGCAGGUGCUUAUGCUGCUGAGCUAAAUCCCCAGGCCCUGGCAUUCCUGUCUUACUCUCUGUGGUGCACUUUCCACAAGAAGCCCUUGGUGAGGACAGCAUGCAGCCAGAGUCUGAAGGCCUUAAAGUUGGAUUACUUGGACCUCUACCUCAUGCACUGGCCCAUGGGCUUCAAGCCUGGAAAAGACAGUGUGCCUUUGGAUCACAGUGGCAUGGUUAUACCAUGUAACACAGACUUCCUGGACACGUGGGAGGCCAUGGAGGACCUGGUGAAUGAAGGGCUGGUGAAGGCCAUUGGAGUGUCCAACUUCAACCAUGAGCAGCUUGAGAGGCUUCUGAAUAAACAGAAUUUAAGGAUCAGGCCUGUCACUAACCAGAUUGAGUGCCACCCAUAUCUUUCUCAGAAGCAACUGAUUAGUUUUUGCCAAGCCAGAGGUGUGUCUGUGACUGCUUACCGUCCUCUUGGUGGCUCAAGUGAGGGGGUUGACUUGCUGGACGACCCUGUGAUCCGAAGGAUUGCAGAGGAACAUGACAAGACUCCUGCACAGGUACCAGACAGGGCUGUCCUACGCUGUGAGCAUCCUCUUCAUAUCGUCUCCUCUUGGGGUCCUGAGGCUCACCAGUUCCUGAACAUGGAUUUUGAUUCGAUUUCAGAUGCAGAGAAAUGUGAUCGUGAUUCCUAAAUCUGUCACCCCACACCGAAUUCAAGAGAACAUCCAGGUAUUUGAUUUUGAAUUAACAGAGCAAGAUAUGAAUGACAUCUUCAGUCUAGAAAAGAAUCUCCGAUUGGUCACAUUCCCCACAACUGAAAAUCACAAAGACUACCCUUUCCACAUUGAAUACUGAGAAAAGCUUCCCGCUCCCACUUCUGCAGAACCAUGACAGAGUGUUGCUGGUGUCAUCCAGGCUCCGAAGCCCCGUGCUGAGAUGGGGGCAGGGCACACAGAGACGCGUGGCUUCCUGGCUACUCAGAUGCCCAGUUCUUACCAGCAUACCAAGAACUGAGGGUGUCCCAAGUUCCAGAAGGAGAGACAUGUGCUGCAGGUCGUAGCCACUGUUGGGGAUCCAUACUGAUAUUAAGGAUCUGUCAAGCACACAGUGCAGUAUAAUUUCUAGAUAUCAAUACAUAUGGCCUCUACCAAAAAAAUGACUCAUCGCUUAAAUUUAUCUCCAUUUUUUUUUUGUAUUGUUUGUGGGGGAUGAUUACUGGAAAUCAAACUCAGACCCUGGCAUUUGACAAGCAAGUGCUUGUGCCACUGAGCUAUUUAAUCUUUAACUACUGUUUUGAAAUGAUGUCUUUAGGGAAGUUAAAACAUGCACAUUGAAAUUCCCAGUCCUUGGGGGCUGGAGGUUUAGCUCAGCGGCAUAAGCGCCUGCCUUGCAACCAGGCGGUCGUGAGUUCGAUCCCCGGUACCGAUAAAAAUGAAAAAGACAAAAAAAAAAAAAAAAAAGAAAUUCCCAGUCCUUGUAGAAACAGACUCUUCCAGGUACAAGCCAUUUACAAGCAGUGGAGCUCGGAGCCCGGAGCCGUACUGUCCUGAGGGAGGAGGCCAUGCAGGCUGCCGCCUGCGGUGGCAGGUGUAGCCAGAGUCUCUGGGCGACUUGAGUUUGUCCAGGAGUGUCAGGUGUCCAGGAGCACAGCUUGUGUUUGCUCACUGGCAUUUGGCUGCUGUCCACAGGUGGCAAGCAGCAGGGAGGUUGAUCUCAUGCCCCUGCCCCACCCAGGUGCCCCAGGGACCUCUCUUCACCCUGCUUCCCAGUUCAGUCUUCAUGUGUGUCUCAGCAUUCUUGCCCUGCCUGGCACAAAGAUCAAGGGAGAUGUGAGGGCCAAUAGCUAAACAAGGCUGGUCUGAAGAUGUCUUGCUCAUGUUACUUCCCAUGUUGUCGUACAGGCAGGCCAGCCAAGAUAGACAGGCUCUGUCAUCAGGAGUGGUGUCGUCAAUGCAGGGAGCUCUGCUGUUCAGACAAGACUUGGCAACUUCUGCUCUGUUUAUUGGAUCUUAAUAUGCUCCUGGCACUAAAAUUCCUGGGAAGAAAGCAUGCAGAUAAACACUGGGAAGUUGAAAAACAAGCUAUUUCACACAUUUAGCUUGCAGUCCGGAUCCAUGUUUCCUAAUCUUUCCAAAUGAUAACUGAAAGCUCUGCAUCUUUCUAAUUUCGGUUUUUAUUGGUACAUGUUUGUAGUGCAUAGUGAUUGUGUUCAUCAUGAGGAGUUGGUGCAUAUGCCUAACACAUCUUAAUUCUUAUACAUCCCUUCCUCGUCCCUUCCUGCUUCCUCUUCCACCUGAGAUCAGAGCUUGCAGACCGCUUUAGGCAUCUCCAGCUAAUGUGCUUCUGUGUGAACCGCCUCUUCUCACUCUGAUGCUAUAGCAACAAGCUCUGAGAAGAAAGUUGUGGUGUGCACUCAUGCCCUUGAAGGGACUGGGUUUACUGCCUUUUCUGAGUGACUGCGAUGUUUACCAUGUUUUGUUAUUCUUGUUGGUCGUUUGUGUAUCUGUGGAGAAAUACCUUCUUGCAUUUGUGUGAGUUCAUGACGGUGCCCCCAGAGUAGCUGGGAAAUGGAUUUAGAAAUUACUCGUUGGUUUCAAACUUUGAGCAAUGAUAAAAGUAGAAUUUUAGUGUUAUUGGUUCUUUUUUCCCCUUCUUUUCCGUUUCUCCUGUUUAGACACGUGAACAAAUGCUUCCAUUGCUCCAUGCCAUUGGCCUGGAGCAUGGCCUCUUUUUUUUGUUUUUUUUGGUUUUUUUUGUCUUUUUCCUUUUUAUCGGUACCAGGGAUCGAACUCACGACUGCCUGCUUGCAAGGCAGGUGCUUAUGCCGCUGAGCUAAACCUCCAGGCCCCCUUUUCUCCUGUUUAAUAAGCACAGUAAACUUUACAUGUCGAAUCAGUGCUUCCAGUCACCUCUGCCCCUUAAUAUGAAUUCUUGCACCUUCCAUAACCUAGUGAGUGGGAAUUCCCUUUAAAACUUCUCAGGGGAAAGCAGUAGAGCAACUUUUACUCUCUUUAAAGGAGAGAUCCUUUAAAAUGUCGUUUAGAACCAUUUUUAAAACAUACUCCGCCAGACAAGCAGUGGCAUCCUUUCUCGGAGUAAUAGCCGAGAACAGCUGCCUGAGGUUCCCUGCGGGACCUGAGAGCCAUUCCCACUGUCUGUUACUUCACUCCUUAAGCCCUUCCCUGCCCUCCCCACCAAGCAACCCAGCUAUCUCUGCUGAAGCCACUCUAGACUUCUUGUUGGGGCCCUUGAAUGUGGAGGGGAUAGACCCUAACCCGUAGCACCCAAACUUAUACCUGAUUUUCUUCUUCAUAUUAAUUAUAUAUGAUUUGCCUGUUUAGUCUCAUUAUUCAUAUCUCCAUCUAAUAGCAAAUAAAAUUUAUAAGGGAGAACUUUACCUGUUUUGUUUAAAACUAGCACCUGAUACAGUAAAUACUGACUAAAUAUUUGAAGGAUAUUUGAAGUAUUUGAGUAAAUACACUUAAAUAAAUGUAAAAGCCACCAAUUUGCAAUUUAAAAUGCCAAAUAAAUUCAUGAUAGAGUCUG